AGAGAGCAAAGGGGAAACUGGGAUGAGUGCUCCAUGGCCUUGGCAUUUCAAGCUAAGCAUCCCACUUUCAAUUCUUCAGUUUCCCUCUUUCAUUAAUUUCCUCCUACUCAAGACUACCCCCCUCUCCAACCCUUUAUAAAUGCCUUCCUUGGCACUGAGACCCAUGCUCCCCUUUAACCCCAGCCUAGCACCCAGCAGAGGGGUUUAGACGCAUCAGGGGAACUAUAGACUGGCCCCUUGGUUGGAAAGAAGGGUCUGGCAUUUCACUGGCUGCCUCACCACCAACAUCCCACUUGGGAUGCCCUUUGUUAUGCCAAAGGACCUCUGGGUUCUUGAAUGCUAUAAUUUUUUGUUUUGGCCAGGCCUGCUUCAAGCUGGACAGGAUAUAGCGACAAUCUAACAUCACAGGAACAGCUCAGCCAAAUUCAAAGAUCUGCUACCCAAAGGGCCAGCAAUUAGGUCCUAGCUUGUUUUAAAGUCAUGGCAAGGAAGAAGACUUCCAUUAAGGCACCACAGCAUUACCAUCUGCAUUAGUGGAAGAGAUACCCGUACCAAUGAAAUGACCCAUCUGAAUGCAUACAUCUAUUUUCUGCAAAGACAGCAAGCACAACUUAAGUUCCCUCAUGAUGGAUACAAGUGAAAUGCAAGCAACAACUUCCUGGCCAAGAAGUUUGAUAUGCUGGGCCUAGGUCACUAUAGGAGAAUUCCUGGGAUGUCUUAAGAAUAAAAUACUUCCAUCUUUUCUGGCCUCCAGAAGUCUAAAGCAACUAGUUCCAUGAAAACAGUCUCAGUCUUCAAGCUGAGAAAAUAGCUUCCUGUAAGCCUCAGAUGCCUUUCCUUCCCAGACAAAAGAAGAAAAUUCACUGACUACUGCCUGGAAGAAGAUUUCAAGAUGGUGAUCUCUGGUUGAGAGCUAGCCAAGGCGGAGGUUUCAGAGACAAUCAUGGAUCCAAAAACAAUCUUGGAAUGCAAGAAAAGCUGUAUCAGACACUGUUCUUAUCCUACUGGGAAUUCUCAUGUGUCAUGGAGAAAAGUGGACAAAUGAGCAAAUAAAAAAAAAAAAAAUGAGAAACACAUUUUGAGUCAGGAAGGUCAUAGGGUCCUGUCUAUACAGACCAGAAGUUAUUAAUCUAUCAAGUUCUGAACCCAGGUCCACCAAUUACAGCUACUCUCCCUGGAAACUCUUUGGGUUCAAGUUGCCUAUGGACAUUUGUGGAAGCUCUGAAGUGAGUCUAGAGUUUCUUCCCAGAAAUCAUUAUUCUGAUGAAUCCAACCUUGAGGGAGCAUCUCCUGUGUUCCUGUGCUAAGAGUUGUAAGUGCUCCAGAUCCAGGCCUCUA